AUGGCUUUCGUCCCGGAGGCACCUGCAGCGAGGAAGCUCCUGCUACGGAGCGGCGGAGCCAUGACGCGGUCCCUGCGCGACGCCGGCCUCGGCUUCGACCUCGACGGUGCCGGGCGCUUUCUCGCCCCCCUGUGGGAGCUCAUCAAGCAGAAGGCCACCGAGCUCGCGGCCUUCCUCGCCGGCCUCCUCGCCGCGCUCGCCAAGAAGGCCGACGAGCUCUUCCCGCCGGAGACCCGCUCGGAGACGCUCGCGCAGUGGGUGCGCAUCGGCGUCACCGUUGUGCUCCCGGCCGCGCUCGGCGCCCUUGUGCUGUUCUGGCUCGCCCGGUGCUGCUGCUGCGGCCGCCGCCGCGGCGGGCGAACGAUGGUAGCUCCCGGCCGCCACGGCGCGCGCAUGCCGCGCUACGCGUUCGAGGAUGAUCCCCGGACGUACUUCCGCGACCUCCGUGCAAAGAAGCCCCUCGUAUACUAG
rnacentral:rRNA from 1 species